AACAGCAGACAUCAGACAGGCACCCCAUCACCGUCUGGUCAGCAAAUCCACAAGCCAACGGUGCCACCGUUCCUUCCCCGUAGUGAAAGAGAGGCUUGCUCCUUCCGUCCUAGUCCAGUCCUCACCUCUCCCUCGGUCCCUCUUUCCUUUGGAUGACCCCUCACCUACUCCAUCAGCUCUGCGUGUAAACAAGCAGCACAGGGACCAGCCGGUGAACACCGUUGAUUGAAGAGCACGUGAGCGCAGGAAAGAGCACGGGCGUCAGAGACAUAUAGAAUCCUCUGGAGGCAAACUAUCCCUGGGGUGGGGCAGGGGGUUGAUUGCCUGUCUCCAUUUUAAGGGAUUAAAUCCAUUAAAGUCACAGGCAGAAGGGAAGUGGUGACUGUUAGGACAAGACUACAUUCUUUAUUGCCUACUUUGGCUGAUUUCAAAUGUUAAUUGUUUUCUAGAAUCAAUUUCCUUUUAAGACAAAUCGCUAGUGUCAUGAUCACUUGUUUCUGAUUUCAUCUUUUUAAACUUAGGGUAAACUGUACUCUGUGCAUUAAAUAUAUGGAUUAAGAUACAUAAAAAGUAACCUUUCAAGAUAAUCUAAUGUGAGUUGAAUAUACUUGUUAACGCCGAGAUGUGUGUGGGUUUGGGGCCGUGCAGACACUUAAGUUUAGGCUCCCACAUGCAGUUAUGGGCAUGAGACUGAGUCCUAACGAUGUGACAUUUUCUCUAAGCCUUAUAAAAGUAUCACAACAGUCAUACCCAUUAGGAUGGUUACUAUCAAAAAAACAGGAAAUAGGGGCCGGCCGGGUGGCGCAGCGGUUGGGUUCGCACGUUCCGCCUCGGCGGCCUGGGGUUCACCAGUUUGGAUCCUGUGUGCAGACCUAUGCACCGCUUGUUAAGCCAUGCUGUGGCAGGCAUCCCACGUAUAAAGUAGAAGAAGAUGGGCACAGAUGUUAGCUCAGGGCCAGUCUUCGUCAGCGAAAAGAGGAUUGGCAGCAGAUGUUAGCUCAGGGCUGAUCUUCCUCAAAAAAAAAUAAAAGAAAACAGGAAAUAACAAGUGUUGUGGAGUAUGUGGAGAAAUUGGAAACUUGUACACUGUUGGUAGGAAUAUAAAAUGGUGCAGCAUUUGUGGCAAACAUUAUGGAUGUUCCCCCCCAAUUACUGUAUAAUCCAGCAGUUCCACUUCUGGGUAUGUGCCCCAAAGAAUUAAGCAGGGACUUGAAGAGAUACGGAACACCCACGUCCACAGCGCCAAGCCUGGUGGGCUAGUGGUUAAGAUUUGACGCUCUCACGCCUCAGCCUAGGUUUGUUCCCAGUCAGGGAACCACACCUCCUGUCUGUCAGUUGUGACACUUGGUGGCUUGUGUUGCUGUGAUGCUGAAAGCUCUGACACAGGUAUUUCAAAUACAAGCAGGGUCACUCAGGGUGGACAGGGUUCAGCAGAGCUUCCAGACUAGACAGACUAGGAAGAAGGAACUGGCCACCUACUUCUGAAAAAUUGGCCACAAAACCCUAUGAACAGCAGCGGAGCAUUGUCUGAUGCAGCGCUGGAAGGUGAGAGGGUGGCGCAGAAGGACCAGGCAGGGGUCCGCUCUGCUGUCCACAGUGUCUCCAGGAGUCAGAAUCCACUCCCCGGCACUAAGAACAAAUGCUCAGAGCAGCAUUAUACGCAAUAGCCAUCCAAAGGUGGAAGCCAUCCAAAUGUCCAUUGACCAAUAAGCGGGUAAAUAAAAUAAAACAUACAACAGAAUAUUAUUCAGCUUUAAAAAGGACGGAAAUUCUGACACAUGCUACAAAUGGAUGAAACUUGAGGACAUUACGCUUAGUGAAGUAAGCCAGUUGCUACACGUGCUACAACAUGUUCUGGAGAUGGGUGGCGGUGAUGGUUGCACAACACUGUGAAUGUAUUUAAUGCCACUGAACUGUACACUUAAAAAUGAUGAAGAUGGCAAAUUUUGUUAUGUGUAUUUUGCCAUAAUUUUUUAAAAAGUCACAAUAGGUCACAGGCCACAUUUGUUUCCAAUUUAAGGGAUUUUCGAGAAAUUCUGUGGUAGAUUAGGCAGAUGAGAAAUACCAGCUCUACUGAAUGAGACCUUGGCUCAUUUUAAGACAACACAUAGUCUUAAUCAGAGAUGGAGACACAAGAGCCCGAUGGUCUGUCCCUUCCAAGGCUUGCGUGUGCAAGCUCAGGGUACAUCAAAGUACCACCGGUACCCAGAGUAUACUCCUUGUAGCCUACGUUUGAUUAUGUCAAGGCUUCCAUUUCAGUGUUUUAAAGUGGGUUUGGUUUAACUCCAAGCUACAGAAAAGGUUGUUAUCUUCUCAUUUUAUAGGUUCUCUUUUUCUGCCGUUAAUAAAUAUUUGUUGAACACCUACUAUGUACAGGGAGUACAGUAUUAAGAACUUUAGGUAAAGUUUUUAGGUUGAACCAUAUGAAAUUGCCCAUAUUUAACCAUUUUUGUCCUGGAAAAAAAAGGAGAUUUCAUAUUGUUCAACCCAAACUAGAAUUCUUGAUAGUCUGAUGGGAGAGAAAAGACACAGACACCAGAGAGGUAGGCCAGCAACAACCACGUACAGCCCUGGUGCCAGAUAACCGCUGCAGGUCUUCUGGAGAGAGAAGGGAAAGCACAAGCAGGGAGGAGACGGGGACGGAGCUGGGAUGGCUUGAUGGGCAGAGGACGUUACUCUUACUACAGAAAGGGCUGCAGAAAGGAGUGAGCAAGCGCAGGGAGACGCGUAUACCCGUGCUGCGCCUGUUGGUGGAAUUGUGAAAAGACAGUUUUGAUCAGGAGAUGCUGAAGAACUGAGGUUCGAAGGGCAGCUGGAGCACAUCAGCAGUCUAGAGGUCAGAUUUCAUCGUCCCUGUUGGACAGGAGGGAGCAAUGAGCCUUUCCAGCAGUUAAGUGAUGAGAUGGAAGCAGAGGUUUGGGGAGGAUAGAUGGUUGAGGGAAGACAUUAUGUGAAGGCAGUGUGGUUAAAAGUCAUUUUCCAGUAUAGCAGAGUGCAAUAGACCCAACUGCUAGUGGUUGAGCAAAGGAAAGUAUGAAGCGGGGAUGGAUAAGGACCUUACGAAGGAAGAAAGUGGUGCUGGGGUUGGAGGGAGGUGCAGGGGCGCUAAUGGAGCAAGGUGGGAACAGAUGAUGCAGGUGAGGAAGACAAAGAUGCUGUCACAGAUGGAGGUAGACUGGGUUUGACUAGAUGCCAAAAAGGGUGAUGGAACUUCAGCUAGAAUACUGAAAGAAAAAAAUGUGAUGCAUGAAGCAUAUCCGGCCAAGCAAGCAUUCUUUUUCAAGGGCUACAUAAAGGCAUUUUCAGAUAGGAAAGGACUCAAAAUUGUACCGCUCUUUUCUCUCAGUUUGAUUCAUUCAGAGCUAUUAGAUAAACAUUUACUGGGUAUCUACUAUGUGCCAAACACUGUUCUAUUUUGGUUAUACCUGUUAACAAAACAACUCUCUCUGCCCUUGUGGAACCUAAUUCUAGCUGUAUGAGGGGGGGGUGUGUGUACAGAUAGUAAAAAAAUAACCGUGGUAAAUAACUGAAUUAUCCAGUAUGUCAGAGACUGAUAAAGACUACGGGGAAAAAAAAA
ensembl:lncRNA